CAGACGAUAAAUGGCUGUUUCAGGCCAGGCAGGGGUGGCGUGGGGGGACUGCUUGGACAAAGGAAUUCUAGUGGGAGGGGUCAUGCAGAAGAGAGGCUGAGCAGGCUGUAGGAGCAGGCUAUAGGAGCUGAAAGAGAGAAGAGAGUCACAGAGCAGUUACAUCAGCAUCUUUUUGAGCCACUAGGACUCCCCCGACCCUCUUACUACCCGACCACCUAUGCUCCAGUCACAUACUAGCAGUUGAGUGUCUGAGGGGACUGCACAAAUUAGGCGACCCUGGAGACUGGAGUUCCUAUGAGCUCACUGGGCGCUCAGAGCAGCUCAGUAUAAGCACCAGCUGUUGGGUCUCAAAACAGAACAGCUGCUAGGACUACUGUGGGACACUGGUGAGUAGAGGGGACAGUGAGAAGCAGUACAAUCAUCAUUGCCUUUGCCAAGACAGAAGACAAAUUGCCGGGGGCUCCUGCUUGUCACUGGCAAGAAUACUGCGAUGCUGGGGCGACACAAAUUACUCCAGAAGGGCAGGACUCUGUCACUUUCUGAGAAUCGGUUUGGCUUUGUCCACAAAGGCUCCCGAUGGAGGGUCUGGAAUUCCGCUUUUUGAUCAGUCCAAAGCGUGGCCUUUUCACAGCACAUUCCACCAUGCCAACAGCCGUUUCCAGAGAGGAACUGAGAAUUAAGUGGAGCUCUGGUUGCAGAUGAUUCUUUUUCCGUGCCUAGCUACCCAAACAAAGAGACCGAGCCAGAAGCCAGAUCUGCAAGGGCGCGCGCACAAUGGGACUGGUGCACGGGAAUGUUCAGGGCUCUGCCUGAUUAAACUGCCUUCAGAGCGCCAGGGGGCAAUUUCGCUAAGCCUCCCUGUGUUGUAUUUUGGCAGCUCUCUCUUCCCAGCCCCCUCUGCAUCCCCUUCACAUCCUCAAACCCAUUUGCGCCCUCAUUUGGAUUGAGACCAAUUCACACAGACUGGCAGAGCUGUAAUUGGUAUCUUACUUACCUUGGCUUCUUUUUUUCUCUGAUCAUUCAAAUAAUGACAGCUUU